CAUUUCCCAAAGGUCGAAAUGGAAAUUCAUUCGCGUUUCGAUCGUCUACGUUAAAUGUUUGUAUGACGGAUGAGAUACGUCGUUCGCGGCGCCUGAGUCCGCAUCUUAUGUUUAUCUAAUAGAUGUCGAACGCGUGCACUUUUCCUCUAGUAGGACGUCGUGAUCCGUUGGGUGUCUGUCUAAGGCUCGGGGUGGAGCCCACGUGAUUUUUUAAUUAUGUGGACCCUCGAUGUUCCGACAGACUCGCUCGACGGUAUACAUAUGGCGCGGGGCCGCUACACAGUUAGCGUUCGGCCCGUAGCAAGCACGUUUCGCGUUUGACGGCGAUCGGACCUAGUGCCGAUUCUGUCCCGGAACGACUGUUGGUUACGGUGUUCUCGAACAGACCUCGACUUGAAACGCCGAUCAACGACGCUAUAGAUUUGGGUACUUUCAGGACC
rnacentral:rRNA from 1 species